rnacentral:rRNA from 1 species
UACGGAGGGUGCAAGCGUUAUCCGGAUUCACUGGGUUUAAAGGGUGCGUAGGUGGGUUGGUAAGUCAGUGGUGAAAUCUCCAGGCUCAACUUGGAAACUGCCAUUGAUACUAUUAAUCUUGAAUACCGUGGAGGUCAGCGGAAUAUGUCAUGUAGCGGUGAAAUGCUUAGAUAUGACAUAGAACACCAAUUGCGAAGGCAGCUGGCUACACGAAUAUUGACACUGAUGCACGAAAAGCGUGGGGAUCAAACAGG